GACGAACGCUGGCGGCGUGCCUAAUACAUGCAAGUAGAACGCACAGUUUAUACCGUAGCUUGCUACACCAUAGACUGUGAGUUGCGAACGGGUGAGUAACGCGUAGGUAACCUGCCUGGUAGCGGGGGAUAACUAUUGGAAACGAUAGCUAAUACCGCAUAAUAUUAAUUAUUGCAUGAUAAUUAAUUGAAAGGUGCAAUUGCACCACUACCAGAUGGACCUGCGUUGUAUUAGCUAGUAGGUGAGGUAACGGCUCACCUAGGCGACGAUACAUAGCCGACCUGAGAGGGUAAUCGGCCACACUGGGACUGAGACACGGCCCAGACUCCUACGGGAGGCAGCAGUAGGGAAUCUUCGGCAAUGGACGAAAGUCUGACCGAGCAACGCCGCGUGAGUGAAGAAGGUUUUCGGAUCGUAAAGCUCUGUUGUAAGAGAAGAACGGGUGUGAGAGUGGAAAGUUCACACUGUGACGGUAUCUUACCAGAAAGGGACGGCUAACUACGUG
rnacentral:rRNA from 1 species